GGUUGCCUCUUGCCCUGCUCGCCGUGCACGAACCGCGAAAAGCUCCCCUCGCCGCCGUCCCCGUCUCCGGUUGUCACGCGAUGUGAGCACACGAGCAGCACCCAUCCACAUGGGGCUUCCGCGGCCACCCCCGACGGUCAGCUCGACGGAGAGCCACUCCGCCGCUCAAAGACCGUUCGGAAUCGAAGCAUCCGCCGAUGUGACGCGCACCAGGCUCCAGAUGAAGGAAUGAUAAAUACAUCAUUUUCACGAGGGGAUCUAAAGCUGACUCGCCUUGCGGUGCUGUUUCGGCUUCUCAGAGGCGCUCUACUGAUGGAAAUGCUCUCGCUGAUGACUGGUGAGCUGCUCUCCGAAGAGAAGUCCGAGUUCAGUGGACACACCUUUGCACGUUGGCCAAGCUCUUUCUUCCGCAGGCUGUUGGGCGUCAGUCUACCCCAUGUCAGCUUCAGACGGCGAGAACCACAGCACUGUAAGAACAUUCUUACCUCUGGAGGGUGAGAUGAGAGGUGAUAGCGAAUUGAGAAAUUUUACCAUCCAGGGUUGGUGUAUGCCAACAUGUAUUUAUGGAAAAAGCAUGCAUGCUUUGAUUGGAUGUCCUUUGUAAUUAAAUUGCUUCUUCGGCAUAGACUAUAGGCUGUGACAAAAACCUUGGACAUAUCAAUAUCACGGCGCUAUGGUGAGGGCUUCAAGACGAAUCGGUGCCUUCGUUUGGACUUUGAUAGACAGCGAUUUCUAUUCUUUGAAAUACUGAGACAAACUAGGGGAGUUUACUUUUUCCCUGGGUGUAUUUGCACCAGGGAGUUUAAAAUAUAAAUUCAAAACUAGCACAUGUUACUUCAGUUGUCAUUUUUAUUUCUGUAGCUACCAAGUACCAACUGAGGGAUAAUAGUAGCCUGGACUAUUUUUGGAGUUUAUCAAAUGCGCUAUGGGGAAUAUGAAGAACCAUAUGCUAUUCUUUAAACAUUUAUUAGGAGACAAAUUUACACUUGAAGUUCUGCCAUGAUCUUAUUCUGUUGGAGCUUACAACGUCUGUACAUUUGGGAGAUAUCCAGUGCCAUCUAGGAAGAUUACGACAGACUAAAAAUACAAGCCUGUUCAGUAACAAGGCACCCUUGUUGUUUACACCAUCUUUUGUAAUUUUUUUUCUACCUAGGCAAGCCUUCUUGUUGUUCACACCACAUCUUGUAUUAGCACGUUCCUUUGACAUGAAGUUGCAUAGCAGUAUAGUGAAUUCUGGCAGUCAGAGUUUUGAAAGCUGUCAUGUAGCCUCAUGCUCUUCCUAUGUCGAUAUGAAUUCUAACUAUCAAUAAACUAA